ACGCUCGACACCUACGGGAGGCAGCAGUGGGGAAUAUUGCACAAUGGGGGAAACCCUGAUGCAGCGACGCCGCGUGGAGGAAGAAGGUCUUCGGAUUGUAAACUCCUGUUGUUGGGGAAAAAGAGGAUGGUACCCAACAAGGAAGUGACGGCUAACUACGUGCCAGCACGCUGCGUAUCUGGAGCGGGCUGGCAAGGC
rnacentral:rRNA from 1 species